UACGUAGGGUGCAAGCGUUGUCCGGAAUUAUUGGGCGUAAAGAGCUCGUAGGCGGUCUGUCGCGUCUGCUGUGAAAACCUGGGGCUUAACCCCGGGCCUGCAGUGGGUACGGGCAGACUAGAGUGUGGUAGGGGAGACUGGAAUUCCUGGUGUAGCGGUGAAAUGCGCAGAUAUCAGGAGGAACACCGGUGGCGAAGGCGGGUCCCUGGGCCAUAACUGACGCUGAGGAGCGAAAGCGUGGGGAGCGAACAGG
rnacentral:rRNA from 1 species